rnacentral:lncRNA from 1 species
GGGACCGCUCCCGCCAGGCGGGCGAAGCGCCCCGGCGGACGCGCUCCGCCGCCGGCCCCGGAGGCGGACGCCACCGAGACCCGAGCCGGCGUCGCCAGCGCCCGAGGCCCGCCGGACGGCGGGACCCGCCGCCGCCGGGGCCGCACUCCCGGGACCGCCGCCGCCUGCACCGUCGUGGGCCCUCGCCUCGGGCACGCGCCCGGCGGAAGGCGUACGGCGCUGAGCCGGGGGCAACGCCCGCUCUCCUCGCUCUCGCGCGGAGACCGGGCGGGGAAGCGCCCCGCGGCCGCCCGCACGCCUUCCCCUUCGGCCCACACGCGGCCGCGGCGCGGGCGACGGAGGACGCGACGAGCAGGGGCCCGGGCCGGGACCGCCGCCGGCGACGGCGGGCGCCUUCCGGCCGGACCGUCCCCGCAGGGAAAGUGGGGACACCCGUCAGGCGGCGCCGCCGCCGCUCGGCACGGGGGUCGCCAGCGCUCGCUGGGCCUCCGCCGACGGAGGGCCGCCGACGCCGCCCCGGGCGGGCGGGCGGUCGAAGCCAGGGGACGGCCGGCGGACGGCGCCGCCGGUGCCUUCGGAGGGAGGAAAGAAAAGGCCGUCGAGGGGAGAGAGGGCCGGCCGCGCGGACCGCGCCGCGCCGCACGCGAGAGACCGCGGCGGCGGCGGCCGAGGAAGAGAGAGCGCUUGGCGGGCCCCGGCGGCCGCGACCCCGCGGCCGAGGAAGGAGCAGAGAGAGAGCGCGCUCUUCUCUCUGCCGGCGUCGCCCGUUACGACGAGGCGAAGCGGGUCGGCCCGCGGCCGACCGCAGCGCCGCGGCCUCUCCGCCGAGGCCGGGCCACGGAGAGGGGGGCAGGGCCCCUCCCGGCGCGGCGCGGUUACCCCAGCUGCGCGCGCGGCGGGACGACGACGACGACGACGACGACGGAGGAGCGCGGCCGGUGGCGACGGACACCACCGCAGGGGAUCGGCGGGAGUAGCUGCUCCCCACCCCUCAGUGGCGCCGCACCACCGCCCGGCAACACCUGCCGCCGCCGCCGCCGGCACCGCCGCCGCCACGGCGGGCCGCGCCGAGCCGCCCGAGUCUUUAAACCGCCGCCCCGGCUCGCCGGCCCUUUCGGCCCCCCGCAACAGCGUUUGACGACGCCGACGGGAAAACCUGGGGACCGCCGAGGCGCGGAGCGCUAG